rnacentral:rRNA from 1 species
AUUGAACGCUGGCGGCAGGCUUAACACAUGCAAGUCGAACGAGUGGCGGACGGGUGAGUAAUGCUUGGGAAUCUACCUUAUGGAGGGGGAUAACUACGGGAAACUGUAGCUAAUACCGCGUACCAUCAGAUGAGCCCAAAGGGGAUUAGGUAGUUGGUGGGGUAAAGGCUCACCAAGGCGACGAUCCCUAGCUGGUCUGAGAGGAUGACCAGCCACACUGGGACUGAGACACGGCCCAGACGCCUACGGGAGGCAGCAGUGGGGAAUAUUGCGCAAUGGGGGCAACCUGACGCAGCCAUGCCGCGUGAAUGAAGAAGGCCUUCGGGUUGUAAAGUUCUUUCGGUAGGGAGGCGUUAACCACAGAAGAAGCACCGGCUAACUCCGUGCCAGCAGCCGCGGUAAUUC